AAAUAUUGAAAAUAAUGAAAUUAUAGAAAAGCUAGGAAAUAGAGAAAAUCACCCCCCGGUACCUGCAGCGGCGCCAUCGCCGGGGCUGUGGAAAAAUCCAGAACUUUCCUCAGAAAUCCCAUCCCCCCCAAAACCCCAAAACCCCAAAUUUUGGGGCUCCCCCAAUCCCAGCUCCAAUUUCGGGGUUCCCACCCCAAAAAUCCGAAUUUUGGGGCAUUCCCAGCUCCCAAUUUUGGGGUUUUUCUCCCCAAAUUCCCAAUCUUGGGGCUCCCAAUUUUGGGGUUUUCCCUCUCUGAAAUCCCAAAUUUUGGGGCUCCCCCAAUCCCAGCUCCAAUUUCGGGGCUCCCACCCCAAAAAUCCGAAUUUUGGGGCAUUCCCAGCUCCCAAUUUUGGGUUUUUCCUCCCCAAAUUCCCAUUUUUGAGUCAUUUUUUCCCAAAAUCCCCAAUUUUUGUUCCUCCCUGGUUCCCAAUUUUGGUUUUUUCUCCCCAAAUCCCCAAUUUUGGGGUCCCCCCUCACCUUCGCUCCCGUCCCAGGAAAAUCUCGAUUUUUUAUUUGGGGUUUUCAGCCGAUUUUGGGUUUUUUUGCCCCAAAAACCUCCCAGGAAAAACGUCAGAAAUGCAAAAAAAACCCAAAAAGGCCCAAAAAAGGGAAGUGGGAUUUUUUUUUUCUGGGAGAUUUUUCCACUUUUUGGGGAUUUUUCACUUCACUUUUCAGGGCUUUUUUUUAAAUUUUGAAACUCCAAAAAAACCCAAAGUUGCCCGAAAUCAGCGAUUUUUGGGGGGAAAUGAGGAAUUUCUGCUUUUCCCACGGGCAGGGUGGAGAAAAUGGUUUUUAUUUUUUAUUAAGAAAUGAUCAACAACGAGCAAAACACCCCAAAAAUCAGAGAGACACGAAAAUGACCCCAAAACCCCAAAAAAUGAACCCAAAACACAAAAAAUGAACCCAAAACCACAAAAAUGAACCAAAAUCCCAGAAAAUGAACCAAAUCCCACAAAAAAAUGACCCAAAACCCUUUAAAAUGAACCAAAACCCUUUAAAAUGAACCAAAACCCCAAAAAAUGAACCCAAAACCACAAAAAUGAAUCAAAACCCCCUGAAAUGACCCAAAAUCCGAAAAAAUGAACCAAAAUCCCACAAAAAGAACUCAAACCCCAAAAGUGACCCCAAACCCCACAAAAUGAACCCAAAAUCCCACAAAAUGACCCAAAACUCAAAAAAAAUGAACCAAAAUCCCACAAAAUGAACCCAAACCAUUUAAAAUGACCCAAAACCACAAAAAAUGACCCAAAAUCCCACAAAAUGAACCAAAACCCCAAAAAAUGAACCCAAACCCCCAAAAAUGAACCCAAACCCCACAAAAUGACCCAAAACCCUUAAAAAUGACCCAAAAUCCCAGAAAAUGACCCAAAACUCAAAAAAAUGAACCAAAAUCCCACAAAAUGAACCAAAACCCCACAAAAAAACCCAAAAUCCAAAAAAAUUACCCCAAAUCCCACAAAAAAAUGAACCAAAACCCUCUGAAAUGAACCAAAACCCCAAAAAUGACCCAAAACCCCACAAAAUGAAGCAAAACCUCAUAAAAUGACCCAAAACCCUUUAAAAUUACCCCAAAUCCCACAAAAUUACCCCAAACCCCAGAAAAUGAACCCAAAACCCCCAAAAAUGACCCAAAAUCCCACAAAGUGACCCAAACCCCUUUAAAAUUACCCCAAAUCCCACAAAAUGAACCCAAAAACCCAAAAAAUGACCCCAAAUCCUUCAAAACGACCCCAAACCCCAGAAAUGACCCAAAACCCCACAAAAUGAACCCAAACCUCAUAAAAUGACCCAAAACCCUUUAAAAUGACCCCAA
rnacentral:lncRNA from 1 species